UGGUGCCCGCAGCCGCGGUAAUUCCAGCUCCAAUAGCGUAUAUUAAAGUUGUUGCAGUUAAAAAGCUCGUAGUUGAAUUUCGGGAUUAGUACGUUGGUCGUGCCUUAGGUACGUACUGGUGUUACUGGUUCCUACCUUCUGACGAACCAUCAUUUCAUUAAUUUGGUGUGGCGGGGAAUCAGGACUGUUACUUUGAAAAAAUUAGAGUGUUUAAAGUAGGCUCGCGCUUGAAUACAUUAGCAUGGAAUAAUGAAAUAGGACGUUGACCCUAUUUUGUUGGUUUUUAGGAUUGACGUAAUGAUUAAUAGGGAUAGUUGGGGGCAUUAGUAUUCAAUUGUCAGAGGUGAAAUUCUUGGAUUUAUUGAAGACUAACUACUGCGAAAGCAUUUGCCAAGGAUGUUUUCAUUAAUCAAGAACGAAAGUUAGGGGAUCGAAGACGAUCAGAUACCGUCGUAGUCUUAACCAUAAACUAUGCCGACUAGGGA
rnacentral:rRNA from 1 species